GUAGGUGGCAAGCGUUGUCCGGAAUUAUUGGGCGUAAAGCGCGCGCAGGCGGUUUUUAAGUCUGAUGUGAAAGCCCACGGCUCAACCGUGGAGGGUCAUUGGAAACUGGAGAACUUGAGUACAGAAGAGGAAAGCGGAAUUCCACGUGUAGCGGUGAAAUGCGUAGAGAUGUGGAGGAACACCAGUGGCGAAGGCGGCUUUCUGGUCUGUAACUGACGCUGAGGCGCGAAAGCGUGGGGGGCAAACAGGGAUUAGAUACCCUGGUAGUCCACGCCGUAAACGAUGAGUGCUAAGUGUUAGGGGGGGUUUCCGCCCCCCUUAGUGCUGCAGCUAACGCAUUAAGCACUCCGCCUGGGGAUACGGCCGCAAGGCUG
rnacentral:rRNA from 1 species